CGGCCGCUUAUGGAGCGGACGGAAUUGUGGCGUAUGGAAUUCGCUUCGAGCGCGGACCGGCUGCCCACGUCCUUCUGAUCGAGGCUUCAUCCCAUAGCGGGUGUCAGGCCCUUGGCGGCGGCUGGCCCGGGUAUCCAUUGGAGGGCAAGUCUGGUGCCAGCAGCCGCGGUAAUUCCAGCUCCAAAAGUAUAUAUUUAAGUUGUUGCGGUUAAAAAGCUCGUAGUUGGAUUUUGGGCGCAGGCGGCCGGUCCGUCGCAAGGCGUGUACUGGACGUCCUGGCCUUCCCUCCGGUUCUCCGCCGGUGCUCUUGACUGAGUGUCGGCGGCGGCCGGAACGUUUACUUUGAAAAAAUUAGAGUGUUCAAAGCAGGCUCUCGAGCCUGGAUAAUGGUGCAUGGAAUAAUGGAAUAGGACCUCGGUUCUAUUUUGUUGGUUUUCGGAGCGCGAGGUAAUGAUUAAGAGGGACAGACGGGGGCAUUCGUACUGUGCCGUUAGAGGUGAAAUUCUUGGAUCGGCGCAAGACGAACGACUGCGAAAGCAUUUGCCAAGAAUGUUUUCUUUAAUCAAGAGCGAAAGUCAGAGGUUCGAAGACGAUCAGAUACCGUCCUAGUUCUGACUAUAAACGAUGCCAACUAGCGAUCGGGGGGCGUUACAUUGA
rnacentral:ncRNA from 1 species